AGAGUUUGAUCAUGGCUCAGGACGAACGCUGGCGGCGUGCUUAACACAUGCAAGUCGAACGGAAAGGCCCUUCGGGGUACUCGAGUGGCGAACGGGUGAGUAACACGUGGGUGAUCUGCCCUGCACUCUGGGAUAAGCCUGGGAAACUGGGUCUAAUACCGGAUAGGACCGCAUGCUUCAUGGUGUGUGGUGCAAAGCUUUUGCGGUGUGGGAUGGGCCCGCGGCCUAUCGGCUUGUUGGUGGGGUAAUGGCCUACCAAGGCGACGACGGGUAGCCGGCCUGAGAGGGUGACCGGCCACACUGGGACUGAGAUACGGCCCAGACUCCUACGGGAGGCAGCAGUGGGGAAUAUUGCACAAUGGGCGCAAGCCUGAUGCAGCGACGCCGCGUGAGGGAUGACGGCCUUCGGGUUGUAAACCUCUUUCAAUAGGGACGAAGCGCAAGUGACGGUACCUAUAGAAGAAGCACCGGCCAACUACGUGCCAGCAGCCGCGGUAAUACGUAGGGUGCGAGCGUUGUCCGGAAUUACUGGGCGUAAAGAGCUCGUAGGUGGUUUGUCGCGUUGUUCGUGAAAACUCACAGCUUAACUGUGGGCGUGCGGGCGAUACGGGCAGACUAGAGUACUGCAGGGGAGACUGGAAUUCCUGGUGUAGCGGUGGAAUGCGCAGAUAUCAGGAGGAACACCGGUGGCGAAGGCGGGUCUCUGGGCAGUAACUGACGCUGAGGAGCGAAAGCGUGGGGAGCGAACAGGAUUAGAUACCCUGGUAGUCCAA
rnacentral:rRNA from 1 species